GAUGAAGAACGUAGCGAAAUGCGAUAAGUAAUGUGAAUUGCAGAAUUCAGUGAAUCAUCGAAUCUUUGAACGCACAUUGCGCCCGCCAGUAUUCUGGCGGGCAUGCCUGUCCGAGCGUCAUUUCAACCAUCAAGCCCCCGGGCUUGUGUUGGGGACCUGCGGCUGCCCGCAGGCCCUGAAAACCAGUGGCGGGCUCGCUGUCACACCGAGCGUAGUAGCAAUCACCUCGCUCAGGGCGUGCUGCGGGUUCCGGCCGUUAAACAGCCUUACAAAACCCAAGGUUGACCUCGGAUCAGGUAGGAAUACCCGCUGAACUUAAGCAUAUCAAUAAGCGGAGGA
rnacentral:misc_RNA from 1 species